UACGUAGGUGACCAGCGUUGUCCGGAUUUACUGGGCGUAAAGAGCGCGCAGGCGGUCGUUCAAGUCGAGUGUGAAAGCCCCCGGCUCAACUGGGGAGGGUCAUUCGAUACUGAUCGACUUGAAGGCAGGAGAGGGAAGCGGAAUUCCCGGUGUAGUGGUGAAAUGCGUAGAUAUCGGGAGGAACACCGGUGGCGAAGGCGGGUCUCUGGGCCGAUACUGACGCUGAGGAGCGAAAGCGUGGGGAGCGAACAGG
rnacentral:rRNA from 1 species